GCGCCCAUAGCUCAGCUGGAUAGAGCACCAGACUACGAAUCUGGGGGUCGGGAGUUCGAAUCUCUCUGGGCGCGCCA
rnacentral:tRNA from 1 species